GACACUAUGGCCGAGUGGUUAAGGCGACAGAUUCGAAUGGCUUGAUUAUCUGUUUCCGUCUGGGAGCGCAGGUUCAAAUCCUGCUGGUGUCG
rnacentral:tRNA from 1 species